rnacentral:rRNA from 1 species
AGUGAACGCUGGCGGUAGGCCUAACACAUGCAAGUCGAACGGCAGCACAGUAAGAGCUUGCUCUUACGGGUGGCGAGUGGCGGACGGGUGAGGAAUACAUCGGAAUCUACUUUUUCGUGGGGGAUAACGUAGGGAGACUUACGCUAAUACCGCAUACGACCUACGGGUGAAAGCAGGGGAUCUUCGGACCUUGCGCGAUUGAAUGAGCCGAUGUCGGAUUAGCUAGUUGGCGGGGUAAAGGCCCACCAAGGCGACGAUCCGUAGCUGGUCUGAGAGGAUGAUCGGCCACACUGGAACUGAGACACGGUCCAGACUCCUACGGGAGGCAGCAGUGGGGAAUAUUGGACAAUGGGCGCAAGCCUGAUCCAGCCAUACCGCGUGGGUGAAGAAGGCCUUCGGGUUGUAAAGCCCUUUUGUUGGGAAAGAAAAGCAGCAGGUUAAUACCCCGCUGUUCUGACGGUACCCAAAGAAUAAGCACCGGCUAACUUCGUG